rnacentral:rRNA from 1 species
ACAUGCAAGUCGAACGGCAGCGCGGGAGCAUCCUGGCGGCGAGUGGCGAACGGGUGAGUAAUACAUCGGAACGUGUCCUGUAGUGGGGGAUAGCCCGGCGAAAGCCGGAUUAAUACCGCAUACGAUCUACGGAUGAAAGCGGGGGAUCGCAAGACCUCGCGCUAUAGGGGCGGCCGAUGGCGGAUUAGCUAGUUGGUGGGGUAAAGGCCCACCAAGGCGACGAUCCGUAGCUGGUCUGAGAGGACGACCAGCCACACUGGGACUGAGACACGGCCCAGACUCCUACGGGAGGCAGCAGUGGGGAAUUUUGGACAAUGGGCGCAAGCCUGAUCCAGCAAUGCCGCGUGUGUGAAGAAGGCCUUCGGGUUGUAAAGCACUUUUGUCCGGAAAGAAAUCCUCUGGGUUAAUACCCCGGGGGGAUGACGGUACCGGAAGAAUAAGCACCGGCUAACUACGUGCCAGCAGCCGCGGUAAUACGUAGGGUGCGAGCGUUAAUCGGAAUUACUGGGCGUAAAGCGUGCGCAGGCGGUGAUGUAAGACCGAUGUGAAAUCCCCGGGCUUAACCUGGGAACUGCAUUGGUGACUGCAUCGCUGGAGUAUGGCAGAGGGGGGUAGAAUCCACGUGUAGCAGUGAAAUGCGUAGAGAUGUGGAGGAAUACCGAUGGCGAAGGCAGCCCCCCUGGGCCAUACUGACGCUCAUGCACGAAAGCGUGGGGAGCAAACAGGAUU